rnacentral:rRNA from 1 species
GUGCAGCAGGCGAGAAACUCCCACAAUGGGGGAAACCCUGAUGGAGCGACGCCGCGUGCGGGAUGAAGGCCCUAUGGGUUGUAAACCGCUGUUCAGUGGAAAGAACAUCCUCCGGCUGAAUAGGUCGGAGGCCUGACGUUACCACUGCAGAAAGUCCCGGCCAACUCCGUGCCAGCAGCCGCGGUAAAUACGGGGGGGACGAGCGUUGUCCGGAAUCAUUGGGCGUAAAGGGCGCGUAGGCGGCGAGGAAAGUCGAAUGUGAAAUCUUGCGGCUCAACUGCAAAAACUGCGUUCGAAACUUCCUCGCUUGAGUAUGAGAGAGGUGUGCGGAAUUCCUGGUGUAGCGGUGGAAUGCGUAGAUAUCAGGA